rnacentral:rRNA from 1 species
UACGGAGGGGACUAGCGUUGUCCGGAAUUACUGGGCGUAAAGCGCACGUAGGCGGAUUUGUAAGUCAGGGGUGAAAUCCCGGGGCUCAACCCCGGAACUGCCUUUGAUACUGCGAAUCUCGAGUCCGGAAGAGGUGAGUGGAAUUCCUAGUGUAGAGGUGAAAUUCGUAGAUAUUAGGAAGAACACCAGUGGCGAAGGCGGCUCACUGGUCCGGUACUGACGCUGAGGUGCGAAAGCGUGGGGAGCAAACAGG